UACGUAGGGGGCAAGCGUUGCUCGGAAUUACUGGGCGUAAAGGGAGUGCAGGCGGCCUGUUAAGUCAACGAUGAAAUCCCGAGGCUUAACUUCGGAAUGGUCUUUGAUACUGGCGGGCUUGAGGCUGGUUGAGGAGAGCGGAAUUCCCGGUGGAGCGGUGAAAUGCGUAGAUAUCGGGAGGAACACCAGAGGCGAAGGCGGCUCUCUAAACUAGUCCUGACGCUGAGACUCGAAAGCUAGGGGAGCAAAC
rnacentral:rRNA from 1 species